UACGAAGGGGGCUAGCGUUGUUCGGAAUUACUGGGCGUAAAGCGCGCGCAGGCGGUCUUCCAAGUCAGUGGUGAAAGCCCGGAGCUCAACUCCGGAACUGCCAUUGAAACUGUAAGACUUGAGGACGAGAGAGGUGAGUGGAAUUCCCAGUGUAGAGGUGAAAUUCGUAGAUAUUGGGAGGAACACCAGUGGCGAAGGCGGCUCACUGGUCCAUUCUGACGCUGAGGUGCGAAAGCGUGGGGAGCAAACAGG
rnacentral:rRNA from 1 species